rnacentral:sRNA from 1 species
AUCGCUUCUUGGCCUUUUGGCUAAGAUCAAGUGUAGAAAAGGGGAGAGUGGAGCCUAAAACAAACCAAAACCAAAACACUGUGACUUGACUCAUUCAUUAUUUGUUCUUUCAACAAAUGAUUAUUGUUAGCUUACCAUAUGAGGCUUCUUCAAAAUGUUUGACAGUUGGGCUUCCACUAAACUGACUCCCCUUU